AUGUUCGACCUGGCCCUUGCUUGUGUUUUGGUGUUUCUUCCGUUCUCUUUGGGAAGGAUCGUCUUAUGGUGCAUAUUGUGUUCCGAUUCUUGCAAUGUGGGUGAAGUCAACUCCUACACUUCGACAGCUUCUGUCCUUCUAAUUGGAUACGGGUUUAUCAUUUCUGUGGGUGUAAUUUAUGCUGGGCUGUACAUUUUUGGCCAAUACUUGAGGGGGAAGCGCCUUGCGAUCGCAGCUUUCAUUAGAAGUCUGUCUGGUAUAUUCCUCACAGGGAUCACAUGUUUUACCAGUGUUGCCAGUUUUUGUCUUAAUACCCUGCACGGACUUAUAAUAUACCCGCUCUUCUUUGGCUGGUCGCUUGAUAUCUGCACUUCAAAAAUGUUCGGUGCAACAAUGUCUCAAAGGUUGGAACUUAUGUUUGCUGCAUCUUUUGCUUCAACUGCUCUUCAUUGUCUUAUUGGAUUCGAAUUUUUGUAUCUACACGGCUUAUGGUCCACACUUCUUCACAAGAUAUUCAGGCCAGGAGUUGCCGUUCCCACUUUCGACUAUGAUAUUAACAUUGACGAACCAUUCUACAAAUUUUAUUUCAACAAGCCUCAUCAUCUUCUGCAUGGCAUUCUCUAUAUGGCUGCGGUUAUUUUUGUUCCUGUUCAAAUUGCUGAUCGUCUGGCACCGGAGUUGUUCCCAUUAAAUAUCACUUGGCCUGCUGAGAGCUUAUCGUUUUGGCAAGCACCUCGAAAAGUUGGCGAUUCACUUUCUCGUGUUCUUCUUCUGAGGCUUCUCAUUGACGAAACUUAUAUGCCAAAUUAUACUGUGUUGCUAGUGAAGAAGAUAACUCGGUAUUCCGUUGCCACUAAUGUGGUGCUUGCGUGGUUGACUGCUGUGAUAUUCUAUUCGGCUGUGCUUAUUUUUCCAAUAUCAAUUGGGCGUGCCUUGUUUGCCAUCACCCGGCUGCCAGUAGCAGGUGGAUUGAAAUCCAAUGGUAAUGAUUGUUCAGAGAUGGUUAUUUGA
rnacentral:rRNA from 1 species